rnacentral:rRNA from 1 species
ACUCCUACGGGAGGCAGCAGUGGGGAAUCUUAGACAAUGGGGGCAACCCUGAUCUAGCCAUGCCGCGUGUGUGAUGAAGGCCUUAGGGUCGUAAAGCACUUUCGCCGGGGAAGAUAAUGACGGUACCCGGUAAAGAAGCCCCGGCUAACUCCGUGCCAGCAGCCGCGGUAAUACGGAGGGGCUAGCGUUGUUCGGAAUUACUGGGCGUAAAGCGCACGUAGGCGGAUCGGAAAGUUGGGGUGAAAUCCCAGGGCUCAACCCUGGAACUGCCUUCAAAACUAUCGGUCUAGAGUUCUGGAGAGGUGAGUGGAAUUCCGAGUGUAGAGGUGAAAUUCGUAGAUAUUCGGAGGAACACCAGUGGCGAAGGCGGCUCACUGGCCAGAUACUGACGCUGAGGUGCGAAAGUGUGGGGAGCAAACAGGAUUAGAUACCCUGGUAGCUACGAG